GACGAACGCUGGCGGCGUGCCUAAUACAUGCAAGUCGAGCGGACGUUUUUGAAGCUUGCUUCAAAAACGUUAGCGGCGGACGGGUGAGUAACACGUGGGCAACCUACCUUAUCGACUGGGAUAACUCCGGGAAACCGGGGCUAAUACCGGAUAACAUCUAGCACCUCCUGGUGCCGGAUUAAAAGAGGGCUUCUUGCUCUCACGAUGAGAUGGGCCCGCGGCGCAUUAGCUAGUUGGAGAGGUAACGGCUCCCCAAGGCGACGAUGCGUAGCCGACCUGAGAGGGUGAUCGGCCACACUGGGACUGAGACACGGCCCAGACUCCUACGGGAGGCAGCAGUAGGGAAUCUUCCGCAAUGGACGAAAGUCUGACGGAGCAACGCCGCGUGAGUGAUGAAGGGUUUCGGCUCGUAAAGCUCUGUUAUGAGGGAAGAACACGUACCGUUCGAAUAGGGCGGUACCUUGACGGUACCUCAUCAGAAAGCCACGGCUAACUACGUGCCAGCAGCCGCAGUAACAC
rnacentral:rRNA from 1 species